rnacentral:rRNA from 1 species
GGUGAACGCUGGCGGCGUGCCUAAGACAUGCAAGUCGAGCGGGGCAGGUUUAUACCUGUUCAGCGGCGGACGGGUGAGUAACGCGUGGGUGACCUACCCGGAAGAGGCGGACAACCUGGGGAAACCCAGGCUAAUCCGCCAUGUGGUCCUGUCCUGUGGGGCAGGACUAAAGGGGCGACCCGCUUCCGGAUGGGCCCGCGUCCCAUCAGCUAGUUGGUGGGGUAAAGGCCCACCAAGGCGACGACGGGUAGCCGGUCUGAGAGGAUGGCCGGCCACAGGGGCACUGAGACACGGGGCCCACUCCUACGGGAGGCAGCAGUUAGGAAUCUUCCGCAAUGGACGGAAGUCUGACGGAGCGACGCCGCUUGGAGGAGGAAGCCCUUCGGGGUGUAAACUCCUGAACUGGGGACGAAAGCCCCGUGUAGGGGGAUGACGGUACCCAGGUAAUAGCGCCGGCCAACUCCGUG